GAUUAAGUUAUUAAGGGCGCACGGUGGAUGCCUUGGCACUAGAAGCCGAUGAAGGACGUUACUAACGACGAUAUGCUUUGGGGAGCUGUAAGUAAGCUUUGAUCCAGAGAUUUCCGAAUGGGGAAACCCAGCAUGAGUUAUGUCAUGUUAUCGAUAUGUGAAUACAUAGCAUAUCAGAAGGCACACCCGGAGAACUGAAACAUCUUAGUACCCGGAGGAAGAGAAAGAAAAUUCGAUUCCCUUAGUAGCGGCGAGCGAAACGGGAAGAGCCCAAACCAACAAGCUUGCUUGUUGGGGUUGUAGGACACUCUAUACGGAGUUACAAAGGACGACAUUAGACGAAUCAUCUGGAAAGAUGAAUCAAAGAAGGUAAUAAUCCUGUAGUCGAAAAUGUUGUCUCUCUUGAGUGGAUCCUGAGUACGACGGAGCACGUGAAAUUCCGUCGGAAUCUGGGAGGACCAUCUCCUAAGGCUAAAUACUCUCUAGUGACCGAUAGUGAACCAGUACCGUGAGGGAAAGGUGAAAAGCACCCCGGAAGGGGAGUGAAAUAGAACCUGAAACCGUGUGCUUACAAGUAGUCAGAGCCCGUUAAUGGGUGAUGGCGUGCCUUUGUAGAAUGAACCGGCGAGUUACGAUUUGAUGCAAGGUUAAGCAGUAAAUGUGGAGCCGUAGCGAAAGCGAGUCUGAAUAGGGCGUUUAGUAUUUGGUCGUAGACCCGAAACCAGGUGAUCUACCCUUGGUCAGGUUGAAGUUCAGGUAACACUGAAUGGAGGACCGAACCGACUUACGUUGAAAAGUGAGCGGAUGAACUGAGGGUAGCGGAGAAAUUCCAAUCGAACCUGGAGAUAGCUGGUUCUCUCCGAAAUAGCUUUAGGGCUAGCCUCAAGUGAUGAUUAUUGGAGGUAGAGCACUGUUUGGACGAGGGGCCCCUCUCGGGUUACCGAAUUCAGACAAACUCCGAAUGCCAAUUAAUUUAACUUGGGAGUCAGAACAUGGGUGAUAAGGUCCAUGUUCGAAAGGGAAACAGCCCAGACCACCAGCUAAGGUCCCAAAAUAUAUGUUAAGUGGAAAAGGAUGUGGCGUUGCCCAGACAACUAGGAUGUUGGCUUAGAAGCAGCCAUCAUUUAAAGAGUGCGUAAUAGCUCACUAGUCGAGUGACACUGCGCCGAAAAUGUACCGGGGCUAAACAUAUUACCGAAGCUGUGGAUUGUCCUUUGGACAAUGGUAGGAGAGCGUUCUAAGGGCGUUGAAGCAUGAUCGUAAGGACAUGUGGAGCGCUUAGAAGUGAGAAUGCCGGUGUGAGUAGCGAAAGACGGGUGAGAAUCCCGUCCACCGAUUGACUAAGGUUUCCAGAGGAAGGCUCGUCCGCUCUGGGUUAGUCGGGUCCUAAGCUGAGGCCGACAGGCGUAGGCGAUGGAUAACAGGUUGAUAUUCCUGUACCACCUAUAAUCGUUUUAAUCGAUGGGGGACGCAGUAGGAUAGGCGAAGCGUGCGAUUGGAUUGCACGUCUAAGCAGUAAGGCUGAGUAUUAGGCAAAUCCGGUACUCGUUAAGGCUGAGCUGUGAUGGGAGAAGACAUUGUGUCUUCGAGUCGUUGAUUUCACACUGCCGAGAAAAGCCUCUAGAUAGAAAAUAGGUGCCCGUACCGCAAACCGACACAGGUAGUCAAGAUGAGAAUUCUAAGGUGAGCGAGCGAACUCUCGUUAAGGAACUCGGCAAAAUGACCCCGUAACUUCGGGAGAAGGGGUGCUCUUUAGGGUUAACGCCCAGAAGAGCCGCAGUGAAUAGGCCCAAGCGACUGUUUAUCAAAAACACAGGUCUCUGCUAAACCGUAAGGUGAUGUAUAGGGGCUGACGCCUGCCCGGUGCUGGAAGGUUAAGAGGAGUGGUUAGCUUCUGCGAAGCUACGAAUCGAAGCCCCAGUAAACGGCGGCCGUAACUAUAACGGUCCUAAGGUAGCGAAAUUCCUUGUCGGGUAAGUUCCGACCCGCACGAAAGGCGUAACGAUUUGGGCACUGUCUCAACGAGAGACUCGGUGAAAUCAUAGUACCUGUGAAGAUGCAGGUUACCCGCGACAGGACGGAAAGACCCCGUGGAGCUUUACUGUAGCCUGAUAUUGAAAUUCGGCACAGCUUGUACAGGAUAGGUAGGAGCCUUUGAAACGUGAGCGCUAGCUUACGUGGAGGCGCUGGUGGGAUACUACCCUAGCUGUGUUGGCUUUCUAACCCGCACCACUUAUCGUGGUGGGAGACAGUGUCAGGCGGGCAGUUUGACUGGGGCGGUCGCCUCCUAAAAGGUAACGGAGGCGCUCAAAGGUUCCCUCAGAAUGGUUGGAAAUCAUUCAUAGAGUGUAAAGGCAUAAGGGAGCUUGACUGCGAGACCUACAAGUCGAGCAGGGUCGAAAGACGGACUUAGUGAUCCGGUGGUUCCGCAUGGAAGGGCCAUCGCUCAACGGAUAAAAGCUACCCCGGGGAUAACAGGCUUAUCUCCCCCAAGAGUUCACAUCGACGGGGAGGUUUGGCACCUCGAUGUCGGCUCAUCGCAUCCUGGGGCUGUAGUCGGUCCCAAGGGUUGGGCUGUUCGCCCAUUAAAGCGGUACGCGAGCUGGGUUCAGAACGUCGUGAGACAGUUCGGUCCCUAUCCGUCGUGGGCGUAGGAAAUUUGAGAGGAGCUGUCCUUAGUACGAGAGGACCGGGAUGGACAUACCUCUGGUGUACCAGUUGUCGUGCCAACGGCAUAGCUGGGUAGCUAUGUGUGGACGGGAUAAGUGCUGAAAGCAUCUAAGCAUGAAGCCCCCCUCAAGAUGAGAUUUCCCAACUUCGGUUAUAAGAUCCCUCAAAGAUGAUGAGGUUAAUAGGUUCGAGGUGGAAGCAUGGUGACAUGUGGAGCUGACGAAUACUAAUCGAUCGAAGACUUAAUCAA
rnacentral:rRNA from 1 species